rnacentral:rRNA from 1 species
AUACGGAGGGUGCAAGCGUUACUCGGAAUCACUGGGCGUAAAGCGCGCGCAGGCGGCUAUUUAAGUUGGAUGUGAAAGCCUACGGCUCAACCGUAGAACUGCAUCCAAAACUAUUUAGCUAGAGUGUGGGAGAGGAAGAUGGAAUUAGUUGUGUAGGGGUAAAAUCCGUAGGGAUAACUAGGAAUACCAAAAGCGAAGGCAAUCUUCUGGAACACAACUGACGCUGAGGCGCGAAAGCGUGGGGAGCAAACGGGAUUAGAAACCCUGUAGUCC